UCCCUUUGUCUGCUAUCCACUGUAGUUUAACUUCCUUCUGCAUCCAGAGGCAGUGUUACAUUUCUAUCUCUCUCUGUGCAUUUCAGCUUCCUGUACUAUUCCUUGUAAAUCAGCUUUUAUACUCUAACUUCAGAGUCAGAGGCUGCUUUGAGUGGGAUAUGGACCUGAUGGCCCCCAGUGGUCCCUUGCAGCAUAAAUUGUUCCCAGGUGAAUGAUUCUGACUUGACUUUUACAUGUUUUAAUGGCAGGCCACUUUCAGGGAUCUGUGCCAGACCAUGAGGCUGUCUCAUUGCACAUUUGUUUGGAGUACUGAACAGCUGCAUCUGUUUGAAAGAGUGCCGAAGCAGACCUUGCAUUGGGACCAUUACUUGCUAUGAAGGUAAAGAAACUGGGGCAUGAGUCUUAGUGGAGUGACUGGAAGUGAAGCUGCUGCUUAGAAGGAACUACUGAGACAGUGUCAGUUCUGAUUGUGGAUAAUUAUGGAGCCAGCACAGACAUUCAAGGAUAAUUCAACAAUGGCCUGAGCAAAAUAUAAGCAGAGAAGUUCCUUUU